GGUGGCUCAGUGGUAGAGUGCUUGCCUUGCAUGCAUGAGGCCCUGGGUUCAAUUCCUCAGGACCA
rfam:Dipodomys ordii contig_51157, whole genome shotgun sequence.